rnacentral:rRNA from 1 species
AACGAACGCUGGCGGCAUGCCUAACACAUGCAAGUCGAACGGAGGCUUCGGCCUUAGUGGCGCACGGGUGCGUAACGCGUGAGAGUCUGCUAAUUGGUUUGGAAUAUCAGCUGUACACGGGUGUUAAUACCGGAAGGUCACGCAAAUCCAAAGAUUUAUCGCCAGUGGGUGAUGACGCGUUGGAUUAGGUAGUUGGUAUGGUAAAGGCCUACGAAGCAGAAGAUUCAUAGCUAGUAUGGGAAGAAGAUCAGCAACACUGGGACUGAGAAACGGACCAGACUCGUACAGGAGGCAGCGGGGGGGAAUAUGAGACAAUGAGCGCAAGUCAAAGACAGCAAUGCCGUGUGAGGGAAGAAGGUCCUAGGGUUGUAAAGCUCUUGUACCCGGGAAGAUAAUGACUGUACCGGGAGAAUAAGCCCCGGCUAACUCCGUG